rnacentral:rRNA from 1 species
AUACGUAUGUCCCGAGCGUUAUCCGGAUUUAUUGGGCGUAAAGCGAGCGCAGACGGUUUAUUAAGUCUGAUGUGAAAUCCCGGGGCCUAACCCCGGAACUGCAUUGGAAACUGGUUUACUUGAGUGCGAUAGAGGCAAGUGGAACUCCAUGUGUAGCGGUGAAAUGCGUAGAUAUGUGGAAGAACACCAGUGGCGAAAGCGGCUUGCUAGAUCGUAACUGACGUUGAGGCUCGAAAGUAUGGGUAGCAAACGGGAUUAGAUACCCCGGUAGUCCAUACCGUAAACGAUGGGUGCUAGUUGUUAAGAGGUUUCCGCCUCUUAGUGACGUAGCUAACGCAUUAAGCACCCCGCCUGAGGAGUACGGCCGCAAGGCUAAA